UUGAAAUCUGGCCUCCGGGUCCGAGUUGUAAUUUGUAGAGGAUGCUUUUGGCGAGGUGCCUUCCGAGUUCCCUGGAACGGGACGCCAUAGAGGGUGAGAGCCCCGUCUGGUCGGACACCGAGCCUCUGUAAAGCUCCUUCGACGAGUCGAGUAGUUUGGGAAUGCUGCUCAAAAUGGGAGGUAUAUGUCUUCUAAAGCUAAAUAUUGGCCAGAGACCGAUAGCGCACAAGUAGAGUGAUCGAAAGAUGAAAAGCACUUUGAAAAGAGGGUUAAAAAGUACGUGAAAUUGUUGAAAGGGAAGCGCCUAUGACCAGACUUGGGCCCGGUGAAUCAUCCAGCGUUCUCGCUGGUGCACUUUGCCGGGCACAGGCCAGCAUCAGUUUGGCGCGGGGGAAAAAGGUUUUGGGAAUGUGGCUCCCUCGGGAGUGUUAUAGCCCAUUGCGUAAUACCCUGCGCCGGACUGAGGUACGCGCAUCGCAAGGAUGCUGGCGUAAUGGUCAUCAGCGACCCGUCUUGAAACACGGACCAAGGAGUCGUCUUCGUAUGCGAGUGUUCGGGUGUCAAACCCCUACGCGUAAUGAAAGUGAACGCAGGUGAGAGCUUCGGCGCAUCAUCGACCGAUCCUGAUGUUCUCGGAUGGAUUUGAGUAAGAGCAUACGGGGCCGGACCCGAAAGAAGGUGAACUAUGCCUGUAUAGGGUGAAGCCAGAGGAAACUCUGGUGGAGGCUCGCAGCGGUUCUGACGUGCGAAUCGAUCGUCAAAUAUGGGCAUGGGGGCGAAAGACUAAUCGAACCUUCUAGUAGCUGGUUUC
rnacentral:rRNA from 1 species